rnacentral:rRNA from 1 species
GACGAACGCUGACGGCGUGCUUAACACAUGCAAGUCGAAGGGAGGGGCGAACGGGUGAGUAACCCGUGAGUCACCUGCCCUUUUCUUUGGGAUAAGCCUGGGAAACUGGGUCUAAUACUGGAUGGAUUGGGAUGGGCUCGCGGCUUAUCAGCUUGUUGGUAGGGUGAUGGCUUACCAAGGCUUUGACGGGUAGCCGUCCUGAGAGUGUGGUCUGUCACACUGGGACUGAGAUACGGCCCAGACUCCUACGUGAGGCAGCAGUGGGGGAUAUUGCACAAGUGACGAAAGUCUGAUGCAGCGACGUCGUGUGGGGGAUGAAGGCCUUCGGGUUGUAAACUCCUUUCGCCGCCGUAAGGGUAGUGGGUAAAGAAGCGCCGGCUAACUACGUGCCAGCAGCCGCGGUAAUUC